UUCGCGCAAUUUGCGGUUGCGGUUUGUGCGGUUUGCGGUCGCGGUUCGUGCAAUUGUCCUGCCAUAAUCGGUGCCCGCCUUAAAAAAAACCUUCUUUACAAAUGGCAACAGAUUCCUUUCUACAAUCUGAUAACCGACACUUUCCAUUUUACCAGAAAAUGCACGCACUGAUGUUACACCACGAACAGAUAUACCUCCCCAGACAUGAACCCGCAAAAUAAUAUUUGACUGAUAUUAUACACCAGUUUUACUGUACAGUAUUGUUAUAUAUGGAUGGUAGGGUUUGUAAUCCAAGUGAGAAUAUGCACAUUUUAAGACCUAACCAGGAACGACUGCGAAAA